rnacentral:rRNA from 1 species
GAGUUUGAUCAUGGCUCAGGGUGAAUGCUGGCGGUAUGGAUAGGGCAUGCAAGUCAAGGGGACCGCAAGGUAAAAAAAAGACGAGAUAGUAACGCGUAGGAACGUACCCAGAAGUCGGGCACAGCUCGCCGAAAGGCGGGGUAAUUCCCGAUGGUCUCGCAAGAGUAAAGAUUUAUCGCUUCUGGAGCGGCCUGCGUAAUAUCAGCUAGUUGGUGAGGUAAUGGCUCACCAAGGCUAUGACGUUUAGGGGAGCUGAGAGGCUGACCCCCAUCGAUGGAAUUGAGAUACGGUCCAUACUCCUACGGGAGGCUGCAGUCGAGAAUAUUCGACAAUGGGCGAAAGCCUGAUCGAGCGAUACCGCGUGGUGGACGAAGUCCUUCGGGACGUAAACAUCUUUUAUGAGGGAGGAAGUUAUUGACGUUACCUCAUGAAUAAGGGGCUCCUAACUCUGUGCCAGCAGCCGCGGUAAAAGG